GUGGGAAAACCUGCAAAAUCGGCAGUGUAUCAAAUACUUCUCCCCACUGUAUCUUCUGUCAUUUACAUUGUUACUUCCUAAUAGAUAUAUUUAAUUAUAUAUUUUAUUUUAUAUGCCUUUGGAAAAAUAUAAUUUUGCUUGUGUCCACGAAGGUCUUUAGUAUCAUUAGAAUAGAAAGAGGUAUCAUUUCAAUUGACAGGAUAGAGUUUUCAUUACACGGUGUCAUCGGCGGACCUGUGUGAACCCUGGAAAUACUUGGGAGACGGGAAAUACUAUAAAUAUCAUUUAGCUGUGAUUUUUUAAAAUGUUUAUGUUUUUAUUUUUAUUUUCAAAAGCUCUUUCUUGUGUUAAAGUCUUUGUUGUGAAGAACUUGUUAUAUUAUGAUAAGCUGUAUGAUUCAUUUGACGUUGCUUGGUCUGGUUUUCUGCUGUGGUAAGCACACACUUGCUGUGUCUCAGAUGGACUCUAAUACAGGUAAUACAUUUCCUGUGUCAUGCUGUUUCAAAAAUCAUUAAGCAGACAAUCUUAUCCAGCGCAACUUUCUGGAGCAAUUUCUCACCUUGUCACUCUGAGAUUUUAACCAGCAAGCGUUAAGUUUCCUGGCCCAAAAGUUUAACCACUUGGGUAGCUGCCUAAUUUAGCCUUGGAACCAUUCCUUUGACCCCAGCUCACUCACCUUCAAGGACAGGAGAUUGCAAUUAUCUCAGAAACAAGAGAAACCUUUUCCAAUCCAUCAGUGCUGUUGGAUGAUGUGUAGACACUGCAAAGGGUCCGGGAGCGUUGGGGUUUUCAAUGGAUGAAAAGAUGUCCCCAGAGGCCUUUAUUGUUGGCAAGAGAAAGAGCCUACUGGGCUAAUGUUGUAUCAGCCCAUCAGGCAUUAGCCCUUUUGUUUCUCCCAGGAAACUCUUGUGUGCUGUUCAAGUGGAAGAGUCCUGUCCCAAACAGAAGGUCGGCGCUGAAGAACCUUGUUAAUGAGUUGAAUGCUACACCAGUUUCUUUUUAAAAUGUCGAACUACUCUGGAAGCCAAGUUCUCCAGUGAAGCCCUCACCUGCCUCCAAACAGGGUAAUGUAGGUGAAUGACAUUAUUAACAACUAGCUGCCAGUCCACUGGUAAUGUCUCUGUGCUGAGGAUGGCACACCUGCAACUAUAGGAGUGUAAAAUAUAUGUAUUUACAUAUGAUGUAUUUUUUCAAUGUUAAUAAUAACAAUUAAUAGUGAUUAAGGUCUGGAAUUUACGUAAUCAGGGUUUCUUAGAAACAAUGUUUUCAGUCGUUUAAUUGGAGUCACAUUAAUAAUUAGGAUUUGUAAAUGUCACAGUUGGAAAUCUAGUUUUUGCAUUGAUUUAGUUUAGCCUGCUGAUUUCAUAUAGCACUUGAAUUGUAAAUGGAUUUCCUUACAGCAGGAAAAAAUCAUAUUUUCCACAUAUUCUUGGCGUGGUUUUGAUAUUCGAGCAGAACAGUCGCACAGUGACCUAACAGCACUACCCAUCGGAUUUGUGUCACCUAAGAAGAGAUGACGUGAGCUGAGGGAUUAGAGUGUAAAGGGAGACUGGCACUGUCUCCGUCCCCUCUUCCCUGUAAAGAGCACCUACAUACCAGAGUCCUAUGAGUAGUGUAUUACAUAAGGAAUAGGGUGGUAAAGUAGUGUACUACAUAGGGAAUAUGGUGCCAUUUGGGAUGCCUGUACACUUCUACUUUACCUUCCACCCCGGCUUCUCCUCACUUAGAAAGCAAUAACCUCUACAUUUGACACAUCCGUUUUAAUGUUCACAUUCAGGAAAAUGAUUCCCUUCUCACCAACAUGGAUGCUGUGCGUCAAACACACACACACACACACACACACCAUCCCGACUCCCUCCAAGGGCACAGAUCCGUACAGAUUUCCUUGUGUGUGUGACGUGACACUUUGUCACAGUCAAUGCUGAGUGUUAUUGUGAAGGCCAGGUGUGGUAGCUGAGGGCUGUUAUUGUGAAGGCCAGGUGUGGUAGCUGAGGGCUUUUAUUGUGAAGGCCAGGUGUGGUAGCUGAGGGCUUUUAUUGUGAAGGCCAGGUGUGGUAGCUGAGGGAUUUUAUUGUGAAGGCCAGGUGUGGUAGCUGAGGGCUUUUAUUGUGAAGUCCAGGUGUGGUACUGAGGGCUUUUAUUGUGAAGGCCAAGGUGGGCAGGGUGGAAGGGUAGCCUGGGUGGGCAGGGUGGAAGGGUAGCCUGGGUGGAAGGGUGGAAGGGUAGCCUGGGUGGGCAGGGUGGAAGGGUAGCCUGGGUGGAAGGGUGGAAGGGUAGCCUGGGUGGAAGGGUACCCUGGGUGGGCAGGGUGGAAGGGUGGAAGGGUAGCCUGGGUGGAAGGGUGGAAGGGUAGCCUGGGUGGAAGGGUGGAAGGGUAGCCUGGGUGGAAGGGUGGAAGGGUAGCCAGUGAUUGGGCCAGUAAAGAUGGCUGGUUCGAAUUCUUUAGCCGACAAGGUGAGCAAGACAGUUAAGAAUCAUUUCUUCCAGGUUGUAAGAAUGUCUUCAAUAAUAGUUAGUAAAAGAGAAGGUAAUAGUUCCUGAUGUCACAGCAGUAAAAGCAGAGAUUCCUUUUGUUUAAAGUAAUAUUUCACCCAUUCAUCAGCUCUACUUUCUGGCCAUGUUCUUUUUCCACUCUGGAGGAAAUAUUUUGGGUUACAGUAUUUACUUCUGCCUCAGGAGUUACUGUGUGUGUCUGUGUUUGCGUUUGUUCUGGUACUGAUAUUCUGGAGUCUGGGCCUUGUUCACUUGCCGACAGAAUGUGGCCUUCAGAUUGCGGACCUACAUAUGUCCUGGGUGAAGCAGUUGUCCUGGUACAGCGCCGUGUCAGGGUGGCCUCAACCAGCUGAGCACAAGGUGUUGUUCUGUGAGCUGUCACAUACAGAGGCUGUAAAAUAUUACUGUACAUUUGAUCUGUGGCUCACAAAAAUGUGUGUAUCACCAAAAGGUAUUGACAUUACAAACAAAAUACAUUUUUGAAAGUUUCUACAAUGAGUGAACAUGCUUUUGUAGUAUUAUAAUAAAAUAUGUUUUAGAAAGUUAUUUAAAAGGUGUGUGUGUGUGUGUGUGUGUGUGUGUGAAGAGAUCUUCAGUUGUGCUUUCCAAAUGAGAUUCCACAGGAUGACUCAUCUUAGCCAUUUUAGCGGGUGGGUAAUUAGCUGUGUGGACCAAGAGCUGCACAUCUAUUCAAAUGUUCUCUUUUGUGGGACUGUCUGAGAUCUUGAUAAACUGUUUAAUGACUAAAGAACAAUGUCAAAAAUGUUGAUUGAAAUGCUUUGAUUAAAAUGGCUGUAUAUGGAUCAAAGAAACAAUCAUUUUGUAUAUUUAAUAUAAAGGCAAAAUACCUGAGAUUCUGUUUUUUUUGUGAAACAUUGUUUUUUCAAAAAGAAAAGUAGAUUGGAUCUGUCUCUUGAUAAGUUAGUUUGUAAAUUAAGUUUCCAGUUUCUCGGUGGGUCUAUUUUAUAUAGGAGUGUCCUUUAUUUUGCUGAGAUCUAUGCAAUAAGUUGAUUUCCAUUAACGUUCAUUGUAAUAUCCUUUUUUAAUAGCUGCAUCCCCAUGUACAAAGGAUUUGUACAAACAUUGAGAGGCUUCUGGUUUGAUAAACAUAACAAUAAAGGACUUUGUUCAAAUAGUGAAAUAUGCAGAAUGGAGUGUUGUCUUACACAAAAAUAUUUUCAGAUAUUCAUCAAAAGGACCAAAAAAAUUAUCUAAAUGUAUUUGAUCUAAUUUGAG
ensembl:lncRNA